UGUAUUAUAUUUUGAUUUUGAGAUUCAUAGUAAGUUGUUUUUGUUCCCUUUUCUUUGAAUUACUCAAAUUUGUGAACUCUCCACUUGGUUAUUAAGUUAUUUAAUUGUUUACUCAUUUAACAGGUAUUAUUGAAUCAUUCUUCACACACACAUUAUGACACAUACUAGUGGGUUGUAAGUUAAAAUUUUACAGCAUUUAGUUCUUUUGAUUUAUUAGGAAAAGUAUCUAAGGUAGUAGAAAGUGUAUAUUUCAAAAAAAAAAUCAAAAAAAAAAAAUAAUUUUGUUAUAUCUAGAAACCCGAGUAAUUAAGUCCGUAGGGGUGUUUCAACACCUAGUGCCCUAAGGUCAACUGGUCUGGGAGUCACUGGCCUAAAGCUCGCUACAUGGGUAAUAGAUAUAUUGUUUGUUUAUUAGAAACCCGAGUAAUUAAGUCCGUAGGGGUGUUUCAACACCUAGUACCCUAAGGUCAACUGGUCUGGGAGUCACUGACCUAAAGCUCGCUACACGGGUUAGAAAUAUAAUAUAAAAAAAAUAUAUGUGUGAAUAAUCUAUUGCCUAAAGAUAUAAUUUCUAAUGAAUUUUAGAACGAAAAUGUUGUUUUUCUUUUAAUGAAGCCCCAUAAGUAUUGUGUUAAUUACU
rnacentral:lncRNA from 1 species